GAAACGCAGAGAAGGUUAUGCAAGAGUAAACAUGUCUUAUGAAGUUUUAUGAAGAAUGGAUUUCGCAAUCGUAUCAAAACUAGUUAACUUAAAGUUUAUUUCCGGUGAGAUUCCAAGAGUUACAGACAGUAUCACAAGGAUAAAUUUUACAACAGUACAUGCACAAAUAUUUGUAAUUGCCGUUGUUUUUUUAUUCUUCUCCAUCAGUUGGUUCUUCAAAGGUCUUCAGAGAAAGAAGUCGAAAACAUUCUUGGCAAAUGCAGAAAAGGACAAGCCCAAGUAACGGAUAUUUCACAUUUUAAGAAAGACAUUGCAAACCUGUUUUCCACAAUAAAAGCACAGUCAAAACAAUUACACUAUAGAUAUGAAAGAGCAGAAGUAAUUGUUUCUAACCCUGAUGAAUGUGACAACCUUAUACAUGAAUUUCGUUCAAUAAAAUACAACUGGGUUAAAGAAUUUUCUUUCGUCAGCCGAUUUGAUAUUGAUUACUUAAAUGGACGGAAAGCUUCAGACACCAAAGUUCAGCUCCAUGGCUAAAGGAUUUGUAGACAGAGAAUUGGAUAGGAUAAAGAAGGAUAUGGCUGAGGAUAUGCUGUCUCUCAUGGAAGUGGAAAGAGAUGUCAGAACUUUACAGAGAUAUUUUGGCAAGUGAAGAUUGUUCGAGUAUAUUAUAGCAGAUGGUACGAUCUACAAUACAGACUGUUAUUUUUUUACUUAUUUAUAUAAAUUUUGUUCCAAACUG